UACGUAGGGUGCAAGCGUUGUCCGGAAUUAUUGGGCGUAAAGAGCUCGUAGGUGGCGGGUCACGUCGGGUGUGAAAGCCCGGGGCUUAACCCCGGGUCUGCAUUCGAUACGGGUCUGCUGGGGUCCGGCAGGGGAGACUGGAAUUCCUGGUGUAGCGGUGAAAUGCGCAGAUAUCAGGAGGAACACCGGUGGCGAAGGCAAUCCCCUGGGCCUGCACUGACGCUCAUGCACGAAAGCGUGGGGAGCAAACAGG
rnacentral:rRNA from 1 species